rnacentral:rRNA from 1 species
CUCGUAGGCGGUUUGUCGCGUCGGGAGUGAAAACACUGGGCUUAACUCAGUGCUUGCUUCCGAUACGGGCAGACUAGAGGUAUUCGGGGGAGAACGGAAUUCCUGGUGUAGCGGUGAAAUGCGCAGAUAUCAGGAGGAACACCGGUGGCGAAGGCGGUUCUCUGGGAAUGUCCUGACGCUGAGGAGCGAAAGUGUGGGGAGCGAACA